UACGUAGGGUGCAAGCGUUAAUCGGAAUUACUGGGCGUAAAGCGUGCGCAGGCGGUGAUGUAAGACAGAUGUGAAAUCCCCGGGCUCAACCUGGGAAUUGCGCUUGAAACUAGCGGGCUUGAGUGUGGCAGAGGGGGGUGGAAUUCCACGUGUAGCAGUGAAAUGCGUAGAGAUGUGGAGGAACACCGAUGGCGAAGGCAGCCCCCUGGGUCAACACUGACGCUCAUGCACGAAAGCGUGGGGAGCAAACAGG
rnacentral:rRNA from 1 species